GAUGAACGCUAGCGGCGCGCCUAAUGCAUGCAAGUCGAGGGGUAAGGCUCUUUCCGGAGCACACGACCGGCGCACGGGUGCGUAACGCGUAUGCGUCCUACCUCUCACAGACGGAUAGCCCGGGGAGACCCGUAUUAAUACCCUAUAUAGGCUUGUUACUGCAUGGGACUAUUUGCUAGCUCCGACGCUCUUAUAAAUGGGCAUGCCCCAUAUUCUAUAUGUGGGGGUGUAACGGCUUACCAGGGCGACCAUCUAUGGGGGUUCUGAGAGGAAGGUCCCCCACACUGGCACUGAGAUACGGGCCAGACUCCUACGGGAGGCAGCAGUAAGGAAUAUUGGUCAAUGGGCGAGAGCCUGAACCAACCAUGCCGCGUGCAAGAAGACCGCCUUCUGGGUUGAAAACUGCUUUUAUACAGAAAAAAGAAGGUCUUGCGAGGCUACUUGCCGGUACCGUAUGAAUAAGCACCGGCUAACUCCGUGCCAACAGCCGCGGUAAUACGGAUGGUGCAAGCGUUGUCCGGAUUUAUUGGAUUUAAAGGGUGUGUAUGCGGUAUUUUAACUCAGUGGUGAAAGUCUUGAACUUAACUGAAGAAGUGCCGUUGAAACUGGAUUACGAAAUUAUAGUCGAGGUAGGCGGAAUUUAUGAGUGUAGCGGUGAACAUGCAUAGAUACCAUAAAUAACACCGAUAGCCAAGGCAGCUUUACUACGCUAUAUCUGACACUGAGGCACGAUAGCAAGGCUAUCAAACAGGACUAUAUACCCUGGUAGUCCAAGCUGUAACCUAUGCUCACUAGGUGUUGGCGAUAU
rnacentral:rRNA from 1 species